rnacentral:lncRNA from 1 species
GGGUUCUUAGCUCGAGAGGGGAAAUGUCUUAGGUAGCACUAGAAGGCUGGGCACAGGAAAGGUGGAAACUGAGUCCUACCUGAGAAGGUCUGCAUCUUCUGACCCAGCUGUGCCAGCACCUGAAACCGAAGCUCCAGUUCACCGCCAGUGUGUCCCACCCACUCUUCCCCAAAAGUGCCCCAGCCUUCUGCUGUCCAGGAUCUGGUGGAGAGACACCAGGCCUGUCUAGGCCAUUCUCAGUCUUUGUUCCACCAACAGCCUUCUCAUAGUUCCACCUCAUAAGGAAAGGGACCUGGACUGAUGUCAGCCUGACCAAGAAGGAAGUUGGAAUCAGGAGCAGGCCACUGAGUGGGAAGCUGUACCCUCACAAAGCCCACAGUCUCUGUCUUCUUCCAGUUUACUUUCUGACUACAUCUUCUGGCUCAAGUGAAACUAUUAAAGGCAAUUUGAGAGAAGAAAAAGAACACUGGCUGUUCUUGAAGAGGACCCAGGUUCACCACUGAACAUUUCAAAUGGAUAAAGUGGGAACAACUACAGAACGCUGAAGCAGGCUCCUGCAACAAUACAUGCAACAAAGUACUGGAAAGAGUGGAAGCUCACCAGCUGUCCCUGGAGAACGCGCUUAGAUGCAGAGUCAUCCCCUGUCCCACGCCCGUCUCUCCGCGCUAGGUACCAUUGCAUUUGUAAAAACACACACAGAAUGAAAAUAAAUAAAAAUAAAUUACGUGCUUAUGCACACAUGAUAAAGUACCUGAGGUAGAGCCUAUGGAGAACGUGGUCUUCCUUUCUACCCUAGGACAGAGAGUGGGCAGGGCUUCCCUACGCAUCUCUUGUGUUUGAACAAAGUCUGAAUCCACCACUUCUGAUACAGUCUCUCACAACAUCUGGAUUAUUAUAGUCACAUUUUUGGGGGUUAUUUUGUAUUCAAAAAAGAAC